GGCGACGUAGCCAAGCGGUAAGGCGGAGCUCUGCAAAAGCUUUAUGCCCCAGUUCAAAUCUGGGCGUCGCCUCCA
rnacentral:tRNA from 1 species